rnacentral:lncRNA from 1 species
UCCUCGAGUUUCAUGACUGUUUCUAUAAGUUCUAUUUUGCUCCUAGCCAAGAUUACCAAAUCGUCUGCGAAUGCCAAGCACUGAUGUUUUUUUGUGGUAGAUAAGA